CUGGGAGAAGCCAGCUGCCACAUUGUGAGCAGCCCCGAGGAGAAGCCCAAGUGACGAGGAGGUGAAGUCCUGCCAACAGCCCGGUAUAUGGGUGCUUUGAUGGCCUUCAAACUGAAGGAAAAAGCUGGAGGGAAUGUAUAGAAAGCUCUUCAGCAUCUCCAG